UUACGUCCGUUUGCCUUAAUAAGGCUUUGCUGUAAUACAGCUUAAGUUCGUCUGCCUUAACAAGGCUUUGGUACUAUUGCUUACCUGUAACACAGUUGAGCUUGAAGUGCCAGUCUCGUCUCGGGCGCCUGCUUAUAUACCCGUGUCCCCACCACUUCGAGCGUCCCCACCAGUGCGCGCUUGUACUACUAGCGCCGUGGUGAAUGUACAAACUAUUUCAAGCAUAUUUUCGGUUAAAAAUUCCAACCAUACGUCAAGUCAUAAUAAAUUUGACACAUACCAUAAGGGAACGAGCGACACCAGUUCGGAAAAUUAAUUAGGAUAAAUAUUGUCUUGGAAUUUUAUUUUGAGGUUCAAGUAUUUAACGAUGGGAAUUUGUAACUGACAAGAGUGCGCAAUUAAUCAAUGUCGGAAGAUUGAGAAAUAAAGAUGUCUUCAAAUUUACGUUCUCACAUUAAUUUACAUAGUGAAUGAAAAAUUAGUACUCCAAUUACAGAUUUAUUGAUAAUUUUUAUUUAUUCUAAUUUAUUAUUACAUUUAGUAAAUUAUUUUAAUUGUUUUCUAGGAAAAGAAUUGGAUAAUAAUUUUUGUCUCAUUGAAUCGUGGGGGAAAAGAAAUGAGAAGUUGGAUUCUUCUUUUGUUUCUUUUAUUCGUAGAAAAAUAUGAUUAAAAGUCAAUUUUUUCAAACCGUGUGAUAAGGAUGUGGUGGAGAAAAGGAUUUCUUUUAUAUACUUUGAAGAGUAAAAAGGCUUGCUGAAAGAGAAACGUGCGCAGUUAAUAUUAAUUCUUCGUAAUGGAAAACAAGCAAUAAACAUGCAAUAAAAUUAAAAAUUCAUUUUCAUUUUGAAUAUUUUUUUAUUUUUUUUUUCUUUAUCUCUCUGGUGUUUUUAGUUCAAGUUACCUUCUCUUUUUUUUUUUGUCUUUCGAAUGCAUUUCGAAUUUUUCAUAUUAAGUUAAUUUUAUUUUUCAAUUACUUAAAGAACAUUUUGUGCGUGAUUAUUUUUUGAGAAUAAAAAUUGUUUAUGUUUCGUGUUUAGAAGAAUAUAAACAUUUUGUUUAUUAUUCAAUUAUACAAAUCACAUAUAAAGCUUCUUUUAUUAAUUUUUUUCUCGAUUUUCUCAUAUAUCAACGUUAAAAAUCGCUCAAAUCGGCUUCAUUACUAGAAUCCAGUGGUGGAAUUGGCGGUGGUACAUUUUCAAAUUCCGGAGCAAUCUACAAUAUAGAAAUCUGA